rnacentral:rRNA from 1 species
GACGGAGGAUGCAAGUGUUAUCCGGAAUCACUGGGCGUAAAGCGUCUGUAGGUAGUUUAAUAAGUCAAUUGUUAAAUCUUGAGGCUCAACCUCAAAACUGCAACCGAAACUAUUAGACUAGAGUAUAGUAGGGGUAAAGGGAAUUUCCAGUGGAGCGGUGAAAUGCGUAGAGAUUGGAAAGAACACCGAUGGCGAAGGCACUUUACUGGGCUAUUACUAACACUGAGAGACGAAAGCUAGGGUAGCAAAUGGG